rnacentral:rRNA from 1 species
AUUGAACGCUGGCGGCAGGCCUAACACAUGCAAGUCGAGCGAGCGGCGGACGGGUGAGUAAUGUAUGGGGACUGCCCGAUAGAGGGGGAUAACUACUGGAAACGGUGGCUAAUACCGCAUACUAUCGGAUAACCCAUAUGGGAUUAGCUAGUAGGUGGGGUAAAGGCUCACCUAGGCGACGAUCUCUAGCUGGUCUGAGAGGAUGAUCAGCCACACUGGGACUGAGACACGGCCCAGACUCCUACGGAGGCAGCAGUAGGGAAUCUUCGGCAAUGGACGAAAGUCUGACCGAGCAACGCCGCGUGAGUGAAGAAGGUUUUCGGGUUGUAAAGCACUUUUGGCAGGAAAGCGGUACCUGCAGAAUAAGCACCGGCUAACUACGUGCCAGCAGCCGCGGUAAUUC